UUUAAAUAAGUGUACAAAAGUGGGAAUAAAAUUAGAAUAAAACUUCUAGCUACAUUUCAUGGAACAGCGACUGCACAUAUUUACUAUCUACUUCAACCAUCUCUGCUUCAUAUCAGUGUUAAACUGACAUUUUAAGAUUAUCACACAACAAACUGACAAACAUUCUCAAUGGGCCAGGGCGAGGGUCAGGGUGAGGGAAAAGGAGCAGGGGACCUGUGCCCCGGGCUGAUCUGGGCCAUUCUGUGGUUUCUAAUCCUGUGGUUUUUGGCGUGGCCUAUUGCUUUCUUUAUAGCCUGGUUGUACGUGUUCCUGCUCCCAUUCUCAGCGUGCAUAGAACCAAUGAAGGGUGUGUGCGAGGCUAUUCUAGGGGUUCUACAACUACCCCUCACGUGUGCAGAGAACAUGAUUGCCAUGAAACCAAUAUGUGGUGGAUAGACAACUAGACUGCUAUAGACAUUUAAAUGACUUAUUUUAGUUGUUUUUAAAUUAAGUUGUAAUGCAAAAAAAGUGCUAUGGAAUAUAAACAACUAUGAAUCUGUUUAGCAAUGAUAUUUAUUAAAUUUAUAACACUGUAUCAAGUUUGGGUUACAAAUUGCCAAGAUACAGGUGCUAUUGUUAUUGAAUAACUGUUACAUAUACAGUACAAAUGUAUGAGGGGUGAUCCAAAAGUUCGCGAACUAACUGAAUUACUUCGAUAAAAGAAAUAAAAUUAG